rnacentral:SRP_RNA from 1 species
UAUGGAAAGCAAUUCAAUAAAUAGCUAUGAAUCUUGUCAGGUCCGGAAGGAAGCAGCAAUAAAUAGUGUAAUUUAUGUGGAGUGCUUUCCAUAGAG